GGCUUGUUUUAAGUUGCCUGCG
rnacentral:miRNA from 5 species